ACGAGUUUUAUUUAGUGAGAGACGUAACGAGAGAGAGAGAGAGAGAGAGAGAGAGAGAGAUGUUGAUUGGGUUGGUGAGUGAGAAAGCUUGAGAGUGAUUGUCAUCCGGUGAGAGAUUUGUAACAUUCAGAGCUAAGAUCUAGUGGAGUUCCACAUUUGCUUUCGUAUUUUGCUUUAGUUCUUUCACAUCGGUUCAAAUAUAGAUUAGGAUUUCACCACCUUUUCCGUGAAAUUACCAAAAAAAAAAAUCAGAGCAUCGAUAUCAAACCUCUUUCGAGCGGUUUCAUUCACUUAAUCUCUAGUCUCCGAACCGAGAUCGCAACCAAUCAUGUGUCGCUGUUCCUUGGACGCUGGUCUAUCAAACUGCUAAAGACAGCUGCUAUCUAUAUUCUCCAAAUCGAUGAAUUCCACGCCGUUGUUGUAGCUAGCGUAUGUUCAGGCUGGGACAUUGAUGAAUAACUAUGCAAAUAUAUUUGGUCUUCUUACACGUCUGAGACAAUGGCGCUAACACCAACUUGCUUGAUGAGAACAAAAAUGAGCUAGAAUGCGGUGUUUGCCAUGACCCAGCCAAGGACUACUUUGUGACUUCUUGUGCACAUGUGUUCUGUAAAUCUUUUUUGCUUGGUUCAUCUACGUUCCUGGGAAAAGUCACCUGCCCGACAUGCUCAAAACUAGUGAGUGUGGAUGUUGAUUGCACACCCAAAGCUGACACAGAACAUCAGGCAAGCAAGACAAAUCUUAAAGGAUUUAGAGCCUCUAGCAUUUUAAAUCGGAUAAACCUCAAGUGUUUUCAGACAAGUACAAAGAUUAAGGCUUUGAGAGAAGAAAUCAGGUUCAUGGUUGAAAGAGAUGGGUCUGCCAAAGCAAUAGUUUUCAGCCAGUUCACAUCAUUCUUGGACCUGAUAAGUUACGCCCUGGGGAAGUCUGGGGUUAGCUAUGUUAAAGUGGUGGGAGGCAUGUCCAGGGCAGCUAGAGAUACUGCAG